AGAUUCUGUGCAGUCUCAUUACUGAGAGCCUCUUAUACACACAAGUGAAUAACCUCUCACACAUAAGACUGAAAAAUAUCUCACAUUCCUUGGUCAAACGUUCGUAUAAAUGCAUGUGAAAACAUCUGUACAGAUACGUAUGACUUAAAAAGCUAUCAGACAUAAGUCUCGGUAAUUAUAAGUAUGGGGGUAAUUAUAAGUAUCCACAUUGAUGCAUGCCAUUGAAUUAUAAUAAAUUGAAUGGUUGAAUAAUCAAGAAAGCAAGAUAUUUUCAUUAGCACAUAUAUUUUAAGCUUGAUAAAGAUAGAUCUAAAUAAAGUUUAAGAUUUUUUUAGCAUUAUUGAAUAAAUUAUAUUGUGUGUUUUAAACGUGGCAUUAAAAAACAACAACAAUAAUAUUACAUUUUAUUUUUAGGUGUCUUUCAGGACACUCAAGAUUGCCGUACAAGGUAAAAGGUAAAAAAUAAGUUAAAAUACACACAUACAGAUAAAACCCACAACAAUGUUAAAUUAAAAAGAAUAAUGGAAUUAUGAGGAAGAAAGCCUGUCUGAAUAAAUAUGUUUCAAGAUGUUACUUGGCUGAGAUUGUAAGGAAGUCCAAAGUAUUGUGCGGCCUCAUCAACAUCAAAUUAUAAUCGAUAUAAGGGUCAGCAGGGAUGAAAUCGAACUACAUAUUCACACACAUUCAGUACUAGCCUACAUUCUAUAAUGAAGUGGAACACUGAUAAAGGUAUAGUUUAUGGUUUUUAUUUAAAACUGUAUUUUUGAUGACUGCUGUUAGUUAAAACGUCCACUAGAUGGCAUUAUAUGAUCUUGCAUUGCACUAAAACCAGGUACAGUAUAUGAGCGUUGCAUUUUGGGAAAUGAAGAUGCUAUGAACGCUAAUGGAGAAAACGCUAACGCUAGCGCGACCUCUUUCAAACCAAAGAAAAACUGACGAGUUCCAGACUGCUCUAAUCAGCGAAUUACAUCUGAGUUCUGUGUGAUACAAGUGUCUGACAGAAUUGAUGUCAAGGAGGAUUCGGCCUGAUUCAAUGAGGGAUUGAGGACCAAUUUUUUUCAACUUCAGCCAACUGUUGGAGCAUCACCCAAAGCAGAUAAGGUCGUGGAGGAAAAGACGUUAGUUUGACCAAUAAGCUACAUUGUAGCUUAUGACACAAUUGAAGUGGGCGUCAACUGUUCCUCCGGCUUUUGGCACAUUUAAAUGGAGGCCAGUAUCCGGACGAGUCCAGGUUACCUGCUGAUAUCGACAAAGAGAAGCACAGGAUAAAUUGCCACUCAGUGACGGUAUGAAUGUGGGUGCCAAUGGUCGUCUGUCUCUUUGUGUACCCUGUGAUUAAUCAUUUCAGCGUGCUGCCCGUCUUCCAUUGCAAGUAUUGGUGGCUCGGUGGUAGAGUUUUCGCACGCUGCGCGGGAACCCCGAGACUGAUGCCCGGGCACGCCGAUGCAUCUUGGGGUAGCCUUUGCAGCUAGCCUCGCAUCGGGGCAACAGUUCCGCUACGACAACGCGAGCAGACCAGGAUAUACGGUGUUGGAAAUGUCCCACACUACAACAAAUCAUUAUUUUAUCCACACUGGUUUGAGUGCAAUAUUGUUGUGGUUGGUUCGUUGUUUAAAAUGUGUAAAAGAAAUAAUGUUUGUUUUGCAUGUGGGAUGAGAAUUCAGUAAAACGGCAUGUGAGGGACUAACUUGUCCCCCCCCUCCACAGUACUUAAGUUACUGAAUAUGUAUAUAAAAAUGGAUCUUAAGCUACUAUACCGAGUGUGGUUUGAUUGUCAAUAUCAGUUUGCAUAUGACUGAUGAAAAAGGUAAAAUUUCAGAUUUGAAGAAGUCCAUUGGAACUGUUUUGAAAUAAAAAAAACCAUCCCACCUUGUUUCCAAUUGCCAAAUAUAUAUGCCUUGUAGACUGAAGUGCAAAUUGUGUUUAUUCACAGAUGCAAGACAGUGUUAAAGUAUAAGAAUAAAAUGUCGCAGUAAGGUUUAUUGACCACAUAUUAUAUGUACAUAAUAUAAUUAUAUAUAAGGAAUGUUUGUAUAUAUAAUUUAUGUUUGUACAUAUGAUGUAUGUGUGUAUGUGCAGGGUGAUUCAAAAACAAUGUGCCAAAAUCACACAUUUAUUCCUUUCAAAAUCAUUGACAUAGACUGAAAUGAUUAAUUAAAUUGUUAAUUUGAUAAGAAAGUCUCUUUAUCAAGUAAGUUAACAAAUUUAGUCAUAUCAGCUUGAUUGUCCGUGAUGCUGCUGGUGGUCACAUUGAGCACUUGUAAAGCAUGAAAUAAAAACAAAAAUAUACAAUACUUGUGUCAAUGUAGUUAUUGCCCCCCCAAUUUACCGCAAUGGUUUUGGCCCAUUCUUUUUUUCAUCACCCUGUAUAGUGUAUGUGUGUAUAUAUGUAUGUGUAUAUAUAUACAUUAUUUCUAUAUAUUUAUGCAAAUAUUUUGCGGUACUUCGUGCUGAUUGCAGCUAUGCUCUGGACCCGCGUUCCGUCGACAUUCGCUGGAAGUGAUGGUAAGUUAAUGCAGCGCCAGCCGUACAACAACAGACGCCGAAUCUCAAUGACGCAC